GCCUCUGCGUCUUCUUCUCUUCUCCCAAUCCAAUCCUCCUUGUAGAAUCUUCCACCGGCGUCCGGGUAAGAUGAACGGCCUCCUCGUGUCGCCGUGCACAAGGCCGCCCCUGCUCCGCCCCUUCCCAAGCCCGGCCACCCGUCUCCUACCCGCCAGAACCCUAGUUCUCCGGCCGCUCCGUCUCCCCCGUGGCGUCUGUGCGUCCCCUCCACCCCCGCGUGCCGCCGCCGCCGCCGCGUCUGCUGUGGGCGGGCUUCUGGCGCCGCUCGAGGUUGGCCUGCGUAGCAUCAACCUCGCGCCGCUGCGGCCGCCGGUUGCGGCGGCCAUGUCGGCGGCCGUGCGGUGGCUGGGGGUCUACCGGGAGGUUCUGCUUGUCGGGGUGCUCUUCUCCUGGUUUCCCAACAUCCCCUGGGACCGCCAACCCUUCUCCGCCCUGCGAGACCUCUGCGACCCUUUUCUCGCCCUCUGCCGCGAGGUCGUGCCGCCCGUCUUCGGCCGCAAGCUCGAUCUCAGCCCGCUCGUCGCCUUCAUGGCCAUAGACAUCCUCAUCAUGAUCCUUCGCCCACAGCCACGCAUGUGAUGAAGUCCAGGGUAGGAAUAUCAAGCUCAACUUCAAGCCCGAGCCUGGCCCGACAGCCCAAGCCUGAACUGAAGGAUAGUUGUUCGUAUGUUCAGUUCUACUAUGGGCCCUUUCGUCGUUGCUGGAUAUUACCAAGAAGCGGUGGUUGAGCGUUGAAGCUUGUAGCUUUAGCAAGGGUAGCACAAUUUGAGUUAUUUUGAGACGUUUUGUAGGCAAGUGUAGCUUCCUUGAUAAAACUUCUGCCACGGGUGGUACUCAGGGCUAUACAAGUAGAUAUGCGCUAGCUACAGUCUUUGUGAUUCUGCUCUGUUCCCAGAUGGAUUCGUCUAUGAUAUGGCAACCCGAAUCUGCAUGUAGCGAUUCAGAGAACUGAAUCGAAAGCCGAGUCAUUCCUUGACGGUUUGCCAGAGAAUCCAAAACUAGCUUAGGCAGGCUCAUGCAUGUGCAUGGUAUCUAACUUUUCUGCUUUCUUUUCCUUGCACCAUGAGGAUUUUAUCCCAUUUUCUGACUUGACUAAAUGUGUUUACCUCCACAGCCACAUGUUCUGGUUUGAGUGUUGAGAGAUACUCAUGA